rnacentral:tRNA from 1 species
GGCCUCGUAGUACAACGGAUAGUAUGCGAGUUUCCGAAGCUCUUGAUUCAGGUUCGAUUCCUGACGAGGCCACAA